rnacentral:rRNA from 1 species
GAUGAACGCUAGCGGGAGGCUUAACACAUGCAAGUCGAGGGGCAGCAUGGGGUAGCAAUACCCUGAUGGCGACCGGCAAACGGGUGAGUAACGCGUAUGUAACCUACCCUGUACAGGGGGAUAACCCGGAGAAAUUCGGACUAAUAUCCCAUAACAAUAUCUGGAGGCAUCUUUGGAUAUUUAAAGUUCCGGCGGUACGGGAUGGGCAUGCGUAACAUUAGCUAGUUGGUAAGGUAACGGCUUACCAAGGCUUUGAUGUUUAGGGGUCCUGAGAGGGUGGUCCCCACACUGGUACUGAGACACGGACCAGACUCCUACGGGAGGCAGCAGUGAGGAAUAUUGGUCAAUGGGCGCAAGCCUGAACCAGCCAUCCCGCGUGCAGGAAGACGGCCCUAUGGGUUGUAAACUGCUUUUCCAGGGAGAGAAACUUGCGCACGUGUUGCGCAAUUGACGGUACCCUGGGAAUAAGCAUCGGCUAACUCCGUG